rnacentral:rRNA from 1 species
GCUUGUCUCAAAGAUUAAGCCAUGCAUGUCUCAGUAUAAGCUUGUGCAUAGUGAAACUGCGAACGGCUCAUUAUAACAGUUAUAAUUUGUUUGGUGUUCAAGUUUACAUGGGUAACUGUGGCAAUUCUAGAGCUAAUACAUGCUGUAAAGCCCGACUUUUCGGAAGGGCCGUAUUUAUUAGAUAACAGACCAAUAUUCCUCGUGUCUAUUGUGGUGAAUCAUAGUAACUAAUCGGAUCGCAUGGGCUAGUCCCGCGACAAACCAUUCAAGUUUCUGCCCCAUCAGCUUUCGAUGGUAGUGUAUUGGACUACCAUGGCUUUUACGGGUAACGGAGGAUUAGGGUUCGAUUCCGGAGAGGGAGCCUGAGAAACGGCUACCACAUCUAAGGAAGGCAGCAGG